rnacentral:lncRNA from 1 species
CAAAUGGGGUGGUGUUUGGGCGUCUAGGCAUUGGUGGAGGGAGGGCAUUGAUGGUUGUUCUCCUUCCUUCCAGAGUGAUCGCCAGUUGUCUUAGGACCUGGUUGUGUCUCCAGGUGUAGCGGCCUUGGGACAGACUGGUUUUACAGCCGGUGAGGAUGUGACUCAGUGUUGCAGGUGUUUGACAGAGUGCACAAGAAGGAUCUUCUCCAAACCAUUGGUUUAGGUUUUUGGGUGUGGGAAGAACAUCAUAGGUGGCUCUGAUGAUGAAGCUGAUUUGGCUUCCUUCCAUUUCCCAAAGAUCCUUCCAUGUGAGCUUACGAUGCUCCAGGUUUUCCCAGCUGGUCCACUGUCCCUGUUUGGACUGUGCUACUGCUGUCGCGCAUCUGUUUGCCUCCUCUUGUUGCCGAACCUGAGCAACCACCAGCUUUCUCCUCUGGGUUGAUGUUGCUUUGUGCCAUGUGGGUCGACUUGUUCCGAGUCCAAACCCGCCUCUUCCAUGCUGCACCUGUCCCACAAUGUCUCCAUGCCUGAAAACAGAUGUGGCUUGCUGUACCGCCUCAGAUGGGUUCCAUUUCCUCCCAGUUGCCAGUCUGGGAGCAGCUGCACGGAUCACCUCUUCUUGCGACUCAGUCAGGGUCAUGUUCAGCCUCACCUUGGUGCACUUAAACUCCUCUGUGAGACUAGAGAUGGGCAGUUCCAGGGCACCAUGUCCAUACAAGCCGAUGUUGCUGAGGCAACGCGGGAGGCCAAUCACUUCUUGAUGUAUGAGCUCACUGUUCUUUCCAUCUUCUCGACUUUGGUCAUGGGGAUCUCAUAGACUGUUAGAGGCCACAUCAGGCGGGGGAGCAAUCCAAACUGCAGGCACCACAGUUUCAACUUGCCAGGAAGCAAGGUCUUGUCUAUGCUGACGAGGCCUUUGAUGGUUUCUUCCCUAAGCUGAUCACUCUGGUCCGAGUCUUUGAGAUGUGCGUUGUAUAGUCGCCCUAGGCUCUUGACUGGCAGUUCAGACACCAAUGGGAUGGGUGUGUCCUUGAUGUGGAACCUCUGGUCUGUGAGUCUCCCCCUGACGAUGGAUAUGCUCCUGGAUUUGCUUGGUUUGAACUUCAUCCGUGCCCAUGUGAUGUUGGCAUGAAGCUUUCCUAGCAGAUGUUUGGUGCAUGCAACGGUUGAGGUCAGGGUGGUCAUGUCAUCCAUGUAAGCGCGAAUGGGAGGGAGACGCUGGCCACACUUCAGACGUUCUCCACCCACAACCCAUUUGGAAUCUCGAAUUAUCACUUCCAUUGCCAUGGUGAAGGCUAGUGGGGAGAUAGUGCAUCCAGCCAUUAUUCCCACUUCCAAAGAUUGCCAUGAUGUUGUAUAUUCUGUUGUUUUGACACAGAAUUGCAGAUCUUGGAAGUAGUUUCUCACCAGGUUUGUGAUGGUACUUGGGAUGUGGAAGAAGUUGAAAGCUGUCCAGAUCAGAGAAUGAGGGACGGAUCCAAAGGCGUUGGCUAGGUCCAGAAAUAGGACGUGCAGGUCCCUUCCUUCCCUUUUGGCAGAUUGGAUUUGGUGCCAUAUCAUGCUUGUAUGUUCCAAGCAUCCUGAAAACCCAGGUAUUCCAGCUUUCUGCACAGAUGUAUCAAUCAGGUUGUUUUGCUUCAGGUAUGUUGUCAUCCUUUUUGCAACGAUGCUAAAAAAGACCUUCCCUUCCACGUUCAACAGGUUGAUUUGCCGGAAUUGAUCGAUGUUGGAGGCAUCCUUCUCCUUGGGGAUUACCACUCCUCCAGCUCUACGCCAUGCUUUUGGAAUGGUUUGCUUCGUCCACAUCACCUUCAUUUGCCUCCACAGGAAGCGUAAGAUGUUUGGGGAGUUUUUAUACAGCCGAUAUGGAACUCCAUUUGGUCCUGGAGCUGAAGCUGCCCUUGCCUUCCUCACUGCUUCCUCGACCUCGCUCCACUUUGGAGGACUGUCAUCCAGCUGGUGUUCUGGUAGAGGAAUUGGUGGCAUGUCUGAUGGUAUCUCCCUUUGUUCAAAUCUUUGGCUGUCUGUGUGAGUGGUGUUCAGGUGAUCUUCCAACUCCCUCUUUGGCACCUUAAGUGACCCGCUUUUUUCCUUAGUGAAGAGUCCUUUUACAAAUCUGAAGGGGUCCUUGUAGAAGGAUGUUCUCGCCCUUUCCUUCCUCUUGCGUCGAGUCCUGAGGUUUUCAGCUCUCCGCAAUCUUCCCAGGCGUCCCUUUAGGUCUGUUUGCAGGAGGUCAAUGCCCACUCUUUCCUCCAUUGAGGCUCUCUUCCAUUGUUUCCUCAAUUCCCUUCUCUCUUUAACCAGGCACUCGAUUUCUUUCUGCCUUCUGGACUUGGGAGGGGUUGUUGGUGGCAUAUUCUUCUUCCCUGUCUCUUUUGCUCCAAAUCUUUCUGCUCCAUAUGAGUAGAUCAGGUCUCCCAUUUUCUCCAGUUUCUUCUCCACUGUUCCUUUGACUCCGUCCAGGAUCUUGAUCAGGUCUGCAUCAAUUGUAGCCCACUCUUUCUUGCUGCUGGACUUUGGCCACUUCACAUGAGGUCUGUGGCCUUGCAUGUUCUUCUCCAAAGCAGGUUGCAAGUGGCUGGGUUCCAAGUUCUCUGAUGUUGUGCUUGAAUUAUUCUCAGCCUCUGGGGUACUGAUGCUCAGUGGACUGUGGGUUACAUCCUGCCGCUGAGCUUCACUCGCCUGACUUGACCUUUCUCUCAGAAGAUAUUGGUCAAUGCAAGGUCCUGGCCUCGUUUUCUUCACGCACUUCAUCCGGCCUUGGUGUAUUUUUAGGCCUCUGAUGGAGGUUACUUUGGACCAGCCACAGCUACAUACUUGGCGCUCUUGUCCUUCAGCCGAUGUUGUUGCUUGUUCUGUGCCGAUUAUCUGGUUCGUUGUCGUGUUCAUUCCAGGGUCAGUUACGGGGUUGUCAGCCGAUGAGUCAUCUUCCGCCCCCGCUCUCGCAGACUCUAGGGGUGUUUUCCUCUUUAAACUUUUCAUAGCAAUGGGGGGUGGCCUUUGUCUACUUGCCAAGCGACGGAGCCUGCCAUCACGGAUAGCUAGUCCGUGACAGCCCCGUUGGGGUCUUUCCCUCCUGUCAGCUGUCUUUCCACGCCGUCACAUGGUCUUUCCCUAGUUGUCAGCUGCCCUUUCACAGCAGUCACUGGAUUUCUCCAGCUUAUCAGUUGAGCUCAUAGGACUAGUUAUUACAAUCCCUUAUAUCAGCACUUGGAAUUGAGUGGGGGGGGGGGGGGUAAAAGCUUCACUGGGGUCUUCAGGUGGGCACCCCCUUCACUGGUGUUUCAUUGAUAGGCCCACGACACCUCCAGGGGGCUCAACGGCGACACCUGGCGUCCCAGGUGUGCCCCCCUCUGCUUUUACCCCUAGGUGGUCAUUUUGCAGCCCAGGUGGAGUCCUUUCUCUUGAUCCAGAGCCAUCUGCUGCUUCGUUCGGCAGCCUCUGAUAUUGAUUUGAUGGCUCGUCGGAAGGCCUGUCCUCGUACUCCCAAUCUCUUCAGAAGCUUGGUUGUGGAUGUUGCAACGAAGCCUCUGCACCCAACCUCCACCGGAAGCACCUGGGCCCUCCAGCCGCGCUUCUCUGCCUCGGCUGCUAUGUCCGCAUACUUCAGUCGUUUGCGCUCAUAUGCUUCACCAACUGCUGCCUCCCACGGUACAGUUAAUUCAAUGAUGAACGCAACCUUCUGGGUGGUUGACCACAAGACCAGGUCCGGCCUGAGGCUAGUUGGAAGGAUCUCAGGCGGAAAGAUGAGUUUUUGGUCUAGGUCAACCUGCAUCCUCCAGUCCCGGGCAGAGUCUAGGAGGGUUGCCUCCACUCUUGCAGAUGGUUUUGCCGGUGGUUGUCCUGCUCUUACAAAUGGGGUGGUGUUUGGGCGUCUAGGCAUUGGUGGAGGGAGGGCAUUGAUGGUUGUUCUCCUUCCUUCCAGAGUGAUCGCCAGUUGUCUUAGGACCUGGUUGUGUCUCCAGGUGUAGCGGCCUUGGGACAGACUGGUUUUACAGCCGGUGAGGAUGUGACUCAGUGUUGCAGGUGUUUGACAGAGUGCACAAGAAGGAUCUUCUCCAAACCAUUGGUUGGUAUCUGUUGCUCUCUGAGAGGACCAUCUAGGCCUUUUUCCUGUUCAUGAUGUAAUUUUCACUCUUACAGUGGUCUUCGACAGCUGCUUAUACAUUUCCUGGUCUGCUUUUUGUUUUGUUGCACAUGUACACGCUCUACAUCUUCUUUUAUUUUUUCUCUUCUGAGGAGGACCACAGAAAUUUACAGUCAAAGUUAGAAAAGGAAAUGCACAGUCUAGAUAGAAGAAAUAUUAAUGCAUUAAGUCAGACCAAAGGAACCUUUUUGGACAAAUAUUUAUCCCAACCUAAACUAACGCAACCCCACUGUGUGCCAUUUACUUUCGCAUUGUCCGUGGAGAUGCACGAAUUGUAAAAAUCAGUGCCAAUUUUGAUGUUUAUUAUAACAGAUUAGCUAAUACCAAUUGCUAAAUCUAAUAGUUUCUGCAUGACUUCUCUGUCUUUUUGAUGAAAUGUCUCAGGAAAAUGUCUUUCAAACUGCACAUUGCUGAUCUUUCUCACAGACUGUGUUGUAUUCCCACUUUGCACAUAUAUUCUCUCAUCUUGAAUUAUUCACACAAACCACUUUAUCUUGCAGGUGACUUCUUCUGGCCAAUAAAAGUUCCAUGAAAACUCUAACACUGUGCCCUUUUACCAGUCUAGUCUAGAGGAGGAAAUGAUAGUUUGUUCUCUGAUAGAUUAGACCCACAGUGGGGGAAAUGUAAUGACUCUGAAUGUCAGAGUGCCAUGGCAGACUUUGACUAAACUUUCAGUACUUGUAGGAGCUGCUGAGUGUGACACUAAGUGCGUAUCUCCAACUUGCUGCUGUUUGGUUGGUUGGUUGGGAUGCAGACCAUCACUUGUGUGCCUCAUUCUUCUGACUUGGCUAAGGACAGAGCAACAGAGAUGGAUUGAUCUCCUCCAAGCAGCUUUAUUUUAUUUUAAGUAUUUAUGCGUCCAAGCAGCCCGCUAAUGCACAUUAUGUGGACUCAUCUGAGAGGAGCAGCUUUUUAAUCUCUCCUCAGGACAGGCUGCAAUGAUUUUGACCCCUCUCUGUCAAGGAUGAAGUGUUUUUCAAUCCAUUGCUGAGAGCUUCCCACAGCGCCAUGGCAACAACCAGAAAAAAAUGACUUCAUUAAUCAGAGACGUUUAGCAUCUAAACAGUGUUUGGCAGCAGAAAACAAAGCGCCUCUCUAAGCUGGCCUCUAUUUAGCACAGCACAGCUGCUGGGACAAGGUGCUUUAUUUAGAGGAAACAUCAGGUCCCCUGGGGGAAACAGCCAUAAAGGCAGAGGAGGUGGGAGGUAUAUAUAUGCAUGCCCCCCCUCACAUUUCUAUGCCUUUAUUGGAUGGCUUUAACAACGGCGUUGACAGUGUAUUACAAUAAAUCCUCAGCAGAGAGAAAAAGAAGGAGGGAAAAUAUCUGCAAACAUCAGCAUCAGUGUUUGUGCUGCGCUGUGAUUGAUUCCUCUGUCCGCUCCCGGUUGGUUCUGCCCGAGAGAAAUCAUGUGGACGGGCAGCCGCUGACACUCCGUCCCCAGAGACACACACUGCCAGACACGGACACUGUUUAUGCAAACUCUUUGUAAACACACACACACUCUCACACACACACUCACAAACACACACACGCAGGCCCGGUGCCGAGCAGAGGAAUGUUGAGCUGAGGAGGAUUCACAUCAUGUCUGUGUGCUUAAAGAUAAAGACUUUCUCCAUCUGAGGACUGUGUGUUCUUAGCUUAUGUUUGGAAGGCAUGGGAAACUACAUCCUGCUAAACUUCUCAGGAAUAUGUGUGAACUCUUGUGUUACUACCUCAAAACAGACAAUUCAACAUUCACACCUACUCCACACAGUGUUUGGUUAGGUUUAUAGGGAAGAAAAAAAGUGCUCUGUCUAGCUCCUCCAUUUUUUUCCUUUUCCUGAAGCGUAACACUCUGAUCCAGAAGAUACCUGGACCCACUUUCCUUUAGAAUCCACCUCUCUUAACAGCCUUCUGCUCUGAUUUCCAGGGUUUGGUCAGUUGACUGAGGGAAAUGUGGUGGCAACCAUCAUGAUGUCAUCUAUUGGUUUCUCUAUGCAGGCCAAGCCAAUGUUGGAUUUAUGAAGCCAAAAGUGGCAUAUCUUCACAAGAAGGUGGAGUUGGAGGAGUGAAACUGGUCGACAUAUGCUUCACUAUUUAGGAUCAACAGUCUAUACCCAUGGCUAACUAAAGUUUGUUUUUGAAACCGACUGAUGAAAAGUGUUCAUUAUCAGACUUAAAACCCAGAUAGCUUGUUGAAAAUACCAGAUUUGUUGCUUUCUUGUUCAAAUCACUGUUCACAAGCUGCUCAACCAAAACUAUCUCAUAACAAACACUGACUUAGCGAUGUGUUGUCUUUCAGUGAAGUGUUUUGUGCUUUCUGGGCCAUCAUCCUAUUAACUCUUCCAUCAAAUAUAUACUGUAGAAAUACACACCCAUACACCUUAUACAUAAGAAAAGACUGGGCUUAUAACUCAGCAAAACUUUUCUUUAUUGUGUCUGCAGAAGUUUCAGCUCAACACAAGCACAAUGGGCUGAGUUUUCUUGAAGAAACAAAGCAAUCUUCAGGAAAAAAAAGCACAAAAUCAUUUUCUGCUGUGCAGUUCCACAAAUACCCCCAAAUAGAGUGAAGCAGCACAGCUCAGUAACACAGCACAAUUUGUUUUAUAGAGGCUCACAUAAGCCCCGAGCUUCCUGUUUUCACAGCUGAGUGGAGUGGAAGUCGAGCCGUAAUGUGUCAGAGCCAGCCGUGUCAUUCAGGAACAAAAAAACAGCCGUAAUGAAAGCCAGAAUGACAGCCGAGCAGCGGGUCUCUGCUGCAGCCAGGAGGGAAAAUGACACCCGGGCAGCGGCCUGCUCGCUGUGACACAUGUUGUGUCACUGGCUGUGAAAUUACUUCAUCCCUCUGUUUUGCCGGAGGAGGACCAGCGACCUGAGUACAGAACUGGACUCCUUUGAAGGCCGAGAGCUGUGAUUUAGUGCUGAACUUUAAAAGCACUGCUGCUUUCCUGGGCGCCGGGCAUUGGUGGUAAUAAGGAGGAUAUGAGGGAGCAUUGGAGGGAGGAUAUGGGGGAGCAGAGGCCACAGUCUGGGCUCUGGCCCCGCUGUGCUGCCUGUUAUUUGAGACAGUGAGAACGCUGUGAAAGAGCUGAUCUCA